UGCCAGCACCAUGUGAUGGGAGCUCCAGGGCAUGCUGUGUGCUCGCCAGGAGGGGCUGGGCAAGAUGGCGUAGUCGCUGGAGCAGCUGCGGGCGCGGCACCGCCGCUCUCACCCUGGCGGAGUGCAGCAACACAGUGGGGUGGCACCAGCGGGACACUCUGGACAACGCAGCCAAGGCUGUUGCCCCGCUCGCCCGACUCGUUGAGAGGUUGGCCACCCCCCAGGGCGUUGUCGUGAAGAUACCGCUGGGAGGAAGAAUAUCUCACAAUACUGGAAGAGGCGGUGGUGUUGCAAGCCUGUAAUCCAGCAGUGGAAGGCAGCAAGGGACGGCUCCUGGUUCGUCAUCCCCAUAUCUUCGGCAGUCGCAGGCUGGAGGUGCUGAUGGAGCCGAGGGAGCCGACAGAGCCGAGGAGAGGAGGCCGUGAUGGCGGGAAGGAGGCUGUGAUACACUGACUCAUCUUACACUGCCUCACUCACACAACAUACACUGACUCAGUCAUACAUCUUACACUCACACAACCACUGACCCAUUCACUGAUCAUACACAAUUCACUCAUCAUACACUCACUCAUCAUACGUUGACUCACUCAUUAUACACUCACUCACACUCUCACUGACUCACUCACUCAUCUUACACUGACUCAGUCACUCAACAUACACUGACUCAGUCAUACAUCUUACACUCACUCACACAACCACUGACCCAUUCACUCAUCAUACACAAUUCACUCAUCAUACACUCACUCAUCAUACGUUGACUCACUCAUCAUACACUCACUCACACUCUCACUGACUCACUCACACAUCAUACACUAACUCAUCAUAUGCUGACUCACACAUCAUACACAAGGAGUGUCAUGCUGCCAGCUAUGGCUACAAGUUCGGUCGUACAUGUUAUGUAUAUCGUUUAUUGUUAAAUUAAGAAUCACAGUUCCUAUGGUUACUGUUACAUUGUUUUUAUAGCUUUAUUUUGGUGAUUUAGAAAACAUAUGGUUAAUCUAAAUUGUCUUAUGGUUGUUUGUUGUUUGACUUGCAUCACACUGUGAUUUGUGCCCACAGUGUUGUAAUACGUUUUUUUUGGAAGAUUUGCUGGUUUAUCGAGGAUGUUUCUUUUCUCUGUUCAUAUUUUGUUUGUUGCGGUUGCACCCGACUUAAGAGCCGCAUGGCUCACAGGGCUA